UCCGACAAAGGCCAACCCGUCGCGAGGCGGGGGCGCAAAGCCACGGGUCUCCUGCGGGAGACGGCCGGGCCGCCGAAG
rnacentral:ncRNA from 1 species